rnacentral:rRNA from 1 species
CCCUUAGAUGUUCUGGGCUGCACGCGCGCUACACUGAAGCGUUCAACGAGUAUUCACCUUGCCCGGGAGGGUUGGGUAAUCUUUUCAAAACGCUUCGUGAUGGGGAUAGAUUAUUGCAAUUAUUAAUCUUCAACGAGGAAUUCCUAGUAAGCGCGAGUCAUCAGCUCGUGCUGAUUACGUCCCUGCCCUUUGUACACACCGCCCGUCGCUACUACCGAUUGGAUGGUUUAGCGAGAACUUUGGACCGGAGCUCGGGUGGUCAGCAAUGGCCGCCCGAGACAUACUGGGAAAUCGCUCCAGCUUGAUCAUCUAGAGGAAGUAAAAGUCGUAACA